rnacentral:lncRNA from 10 species
AUAGGAUGCAUGACACCCGACAUAGGACGCAUGACGCCCCUGACAUAGGGCGCAUGACAUAUCCGACAUAGGACACAUGACGCCCCUGACAUAGGAUGCAUGACACAUCCGACAUAGGAGGCAUGACGCCCCUGACAUAGGACGCACGACACACUGACAUAGGACGAAUGACGCCCCGACAUAGGACGCAUGACGCCCCUGACAUAGGACGCGUGACACAUCCGACAUAGGACGUGUGACGCCCCCGGCAUAGGACGUGUGACGCAUCUGACAUACGACGCGUGACAUAUCCGACAUAGGACGUGUGACGCCCCUGACAUGACGUGUGAAACAUCUGACAUAGGACACGUGACGCAUCUGACAUGCGACGCAUGACGUGACAUAGGAUGCGUGACACAUCCGACAUAGGACGCAUGGCGCCCCUGACAUAAGACGUGUGAAACAUCUGACAUAGGACGCAUGACGCAUCCGACGCAGGACGCGUGAUGCAUCCGACAUAGGAUGCGUGACGCCCCUGACAUAGGAUGUGUGACAUCUGAC